rnacentral:rRNA from 1 species
AGUGAACGCUGGCGGUAGGCCUAACACAUGCAAGUCGAACGGCAGCACAGGAGAGCUUGCUCUCUGGGUGGCGAGUGGCGGACGGGUGAGGAAUACAUCGGAAUCUACUCUGUCGUGGGGGAAAACGUAGGGAAACUUACGCUAAUACCGCAUACAACCUACGGGUAAAAGCAGGGGACCUUCGGGCCUUUCGCGAUUCAAUGAGCGGAUGUCGGAUUAGCUAGUUGGCGGGGUAAAGGCACACCAAGGCGACGAUCCGUAGCUGGUCUGAGAGGAUGAUCAGCCACACUGGAACUGAGACACGGUCCAGACUCCUACGGGAGGCAGCAGUGGGGAAUAUUGGACAAUGGGCGAAAGCCUGAUCCAGCCAUACCGCGUGGGUGAAGAAGGCCUUCGGGUUGUAAAGCCCUUUUGUUGGGAAAGAGAUCCAGCUGGCUAAUACCCGGUUGGGAUGACGGUACCCAAAGAAUAAGCACCGGCUAACUUCGUGCCAGCAGCCGCCGUAA